rnacentral:rRNA from 1 species
UGGGGAAUAUUGGACAAUGGGCGCAAGCCUGAUCCAGCCAUGCCGCGUGAGUGACGAAGGCCUUAGGGUUGUAAAGCUCUUUUGGCGGGGAAGAUAAUGACGGUACCCGCAGAAUAAGCUCCGGCUAACUUCGUGCCAGCAGCCGCGGUAAUACGAAGGGAGCUAGCGUUGUUCGGAAUCACUGGGCGUAAAGCGCACGUAGGUGGGCAGUUAAGUCAGGGGUGAAAGCCCGAGGCUCAACCUCGGAAUUGCCUCUGAUACUGGCUGUCUAGAGUUCGAGAGAGGUUGGUGGAAUUCCUAGUGUAGAGGUGAAAUUCGUAGAUAUUAGGAAGAACACCAGUGGCGAAGGCGGCCAACUGGCUCGAUACUGACGCUGAGGUGCGAAAGCGUGGGGAGCAAACAGGAUUAGAUACCCCUGUAGUCCCUGAG